AUGACACGUGGGCUACACAGAUGACACGUGGGCUACACAGAUGACACGUGGCAGCUGAGAGAUGCGCGCACACACUCAUUGAGACUGUUCUUGUCCUGACCGGGUGUUCUUGGGGCCAUCGAUUAGAAGUAUGACAUCGCCAUCUCAUCCAGCUGUGGCUCUCUGGACAACAUCCUGGUGGAAAGCAUCGACAUCCCAGAAAUGUGUCAACUUCCUCAAGGCCCAGAAUAUCGGAGUGGCCACCUUUUUAUUGGCCUGGACAAGAUGAACGUGCGGGAGAAUAAGAUGGGGCCCAUCUCCACCCCAGAGAACAUCCCCUGCCUGUUUGACAUGGUGUGGGUGCAGGAUGAGAGUAUGAAGCCAGCCUUCUACUUUGCCCUGAGGGACACCCUGGUGGCCAAGGAACUGGAGCAGGCAACACUGCUCGCCUUCCAGAAGGACAAACGCUGGCGAGUGGUCACCAUGCAGGGACAGAUCAUAGAGAUGGCUGGUGGGUAGACCGAGCGGGAGCUCAUCUCUUCUCCGUGUCAAUAUGGAUGACACUAUGCUCUACCUCCAGUCAUGGUGCCUGAGACGGGAGAGUGAUGCGGGGCAGGAUGGGCUCCUCCAUCGGCACUGAGGUCACCCAGCAGGAGCUGGACUGUAUGGAGAGCAAGCUGAUUGAGAAGGUGGUGCAGCUGCAGGGCUGCCAGAAGUGGAAGCUGCAGCUGGAGGAGAAAGUCCAGACUCUUACAGCAGCUUAGAGACAUGAAGAACACCCUGGAGAAAUACACCAACAACAUGCAGGGCAUUCCCACGUCUGCAAAGGACACUGCCUACCGGUCGCAGCACAGCAGGCGGGAGCAUCACCUGCUGUGUACCAGAGAGAACCAGGUGGGGGCGAAGGACACAGCCUACCGCCGGCUUCUCCAGGACACAGCCUACCGCCGGCCUCUCCAGGACACAGCCUACCGCCGGCCUCUCCAGGACACAGCCUACCGCCGGCCUCUCCAGGACACAGCCUCACCGCCGGCCGCCUCUCCAGGCACAAGCCUACCGCCGGCCUCUCCAGGACACAGCCUACCGCCGGCCUCUCCCAGGCCACAGGCCUACCGCCGGCCUCUCCAGGACACAGCCUACCGCGGCCUCUCCAGGACACAGCCUACCGCCGGCCUCUCCAGGACACAGCCUACCGCCGGCCUCUCCAGGACACAGCCUUACCGCCGGCCUCUCCAGGACACAGCCGCCUACCGCCGGCCUCUCCAGGCCACAGCCUACCGCCGGCCUCUCCAGGACACAGCCUACCGCCGGCCUCUCCAGGACACAGCCUACCGCCGGCCUCUCCGGACACAGCCUAUUUUUCCGCCGGCCUCUCCAGGACACAGCCUACCGCCGGCCUCUCCAGGACACAGCCUACCGCCGGCCUCUCCAGGACACAGCCUACCGCCGGCUUCUCCAGGACACAGCCGUCAGGGGCAACACUGUGCUAGCUAG
rnacentral:lncRNA from 1 species